rnacentral:sRNA from 23 species
UAGUCCGCCCCGUGGGACACCUCCGCCCGGAAGAGGGUCGCCCGGCUACUCUGGCUGGGUGCGCCUUCCUGCCGGAAGACGCAAAGCCGACAGCCGUCGCAUCCCAGGGAGCACAUCCAUG